AACGGAACGGAAAUGGGGUUAAAAUGCGGAACGGAUAUUCCCGUUCCAUUCCGCGUUUUAACCCCAUAUCCGUUCCGCAUUUUAACCCCAUAUCCGUUCCGUAUUUUAAC